ensembl:misc_RNA Metazoa_SRP Metazoan signal recognition particle RNA
GCCAGGCCCGGUGGAGUGUGCCUAUAGUCCCAACUACUCAGGAGGCUGAGGUGGGAGAAUCGCUUGAGCCCAGGAGUUCUGGGCUGUAGUGAGCUAUGCCUAUCGGAUGUCCACACUAAGUUCGGCAACAAUAUGGUGACCUCCUGGGAGCGGGGGAACACCAGGUUGCCUAACGAGGGGUGAACUGGCCCAGGUUGGAAACGGAGCAGGUCAAAACUCCCGUGCUGAUCAGUAGUGGGAUCGUGCCUGUGAAUAGCCACUGAACUCCAGCCUGGGUAACAUAGUGAGACCCUGUCUCA